rnacentral:misc_RNA from 1 species
GAUGAAGAACGUAGCGAAAUGCGAUAAGUAAUGUGAAUUGCAGAAUUCAGUGAAUCAUCGAAUCUUUGAACGCACAUUGCGCCCCUUGGUAUUCCGAGGGGCAUGCCUGUUCGAGCGUCAUUAUAACCCCUCAAGCUCAGCUUGGUGUUGGGGCCUGCCGCACGGGCAGCCCUUAAAAUCAGUGGCGGUGCCAUCUGGCUCUAAGCGUAGUAAUUCUUCUCGCUAUAGAGUCCCGGUGGAUGCUUGCCAUUAACCCCCAAUUUUCUAGGGUUGACCUCGGAUCAGGUAGGGAUACCCGCUGAACUUAAGCAUAUCAAUAAGCGGAGGA